AUUCUAAUUUGACAUCGUGAAGAGUCAUAAAAGGUAUGACAGCAUAGGUGGAAGAUUAGUGAUAAAUAAUCAUUGAUCAACAAUUGAAUAUCACUGUUGUCAUCGAUUCCUCAUUUAUUCGUUGAGAAGAGGAUUGAGUUUCGACGCUUUAUUAUUUGUGUUAAGUACAGCCACCUCGUGAUGACUACACGACUCUCGCCGACGACAAUGUCAGGCGGUAAUU
rnacentral:ncRNA from 1 species